UACGGAGGGUGCAAGCGUUGUCCGGAUUUAUUGGGUUUAAAGGGUGCGUAGGUGGCUAUUUAAGUCAGUGGUGAAAGUCUGCAGCUUAACUGUAGAACUGCCAUUGAUACUGAAUAGCUUGAGUAUUGAUGAGGUAGGCGGAAUUGAUAGUGUAGCGGUGAAAUGCAUAGAUAUUAUCAAGAACACCGAUUGCGAAGGCAGCUUACUAAGGAAUAACUGACACUGAGGCACGAAAGCGUGGGGAUCAAACAGG
rnacentral:rRNA from 1 species